UUUUAUUCGUUUUCUCAAUUGUUUUGUUGAAAAUAAUUUUGCCGGGCCAUACAUCUUUUCGAAAAGCAAUGAAAAAAUUGCAAAUUUAGUAAGUUAUGCUAAUUAGCGACGUAAACUGACACAUUUGUAGGCACUGCAGAUGAAGACAAUUCUUGGUGAUAAUGCUGAAUGCAACCGACACCAGGCAUAUGGACACGGCAAUUUUUGACGGAUAAUUUGGCAGCUAUUCAAAAUUUUCCUUUUUUAUAAUUUUUUUAAUAAAAUAUAUUUUAAACUAAUUAAUAAAUACAUGUCUUAACUAAUAUUAAUGCCCUA